rnacentral:rRNA from 1 species
UACGUAGGGGGCAAGCGUUGUCCGGAAUCAUUGGGCGUAAAGCGCGUGUAGGCGGCUUGGUAAGUCCGCUCUGAAAGCCCGGGGCUCAACCCCGGGAGGCGGGUGGAUACUGCUCAGCUCGAGUCCGGAAGAGGAGUGUGGAAUUCCACGUGUAGCAGUGAAAUGCGUAGAGAUGUGGAGGAAUACCGAUGGCGAAGGCAGCCCCCUGGGCCAAUACUGACGCUCAUGCACGAAAGCGUGGGGAGCAAACAGG